CCUACGGGAGGCUGCAGUGAGGAAUAUUGGUCAAUGGGCGUAAGCCUGAACCAGCCACGUCGCGUGAGGGAUGAAGGUUCUAUGGUUUGUAAACCUCUUUUAUAAGGGAAUAAAGUGUGGGACGUGUCCUAUUUUGUAUGUACCUUAUGAAUAAGGAUCGGCUAACUCCGUGCCAGCAGCCGCGGUAAUACGGAGGAUCCGAGCGUUAUCCGGAUUUAUUGGGUUUAAAGGGUGCGUAGGCGGGCUUUUAAGUCAGCGGUGAAAGUCUGUGGCUCAACCAUAGAAUCGCAGUUGAAACUGGAAGGCUAGAGUAUGUUAGAGGCAGGCGGAAUGCGUGGUGUAGCGGUGAAAUGCUUAGAUAUCACGCAGAACCCCGAUUGCGAAGGCAGCCUACCGGGCCAUGACUGACGCUGAUGCACGAAAGCGUGGGGAUCAAACAGGAUUAGAUACCCGUGUAGUC
rnacentral:rRNA from 1 species